rnacentral:rRNA from 1 species
UGAUACGUAGGUGGCGAGCGUUAUCCGGAUUUACUGGGCGUAAAGAGGGCGCGGGCGGUUUUUCAAGUCGGAUGUAAAAUCUCCCAGCUUAACUGGGAGGGACCAUUCGAUACUGUUAAACUAGAGGACAACAGGGGGAGGUAGAAUUCCCGGUGUAGUGGUGAAAUGCGUAGAUAUCGGGAGGAAUACCAGUGGCGAAGGCGGCCUCCUGGGUUGUUGCUGACGCUUAAGCCCGAAGGCGUGGGGAGCAAACAGGAUUAGAUACCCUGGUAGUCCACGCUGUAAACUAUGGACACUGGGUAUAGGGAGUAUCGACCCUCUCUGUGCCGAAGCUAACGCGUUAAGUGUCCCGUCUGGGGACUACGGCCGCAAGGUUA